rnacentral:rRNA from 1 species
UACGUAGGGGGCAAGCGUUGUCCGGAUUUAUUGGGCGUAAAGAGCUCGUAGGCGGCUCAGUAAGUCAGGUGUGAAAACUCCAGGCUCAACCUGGAGACGCCACCUGAUACUGCUGUGGCUAGAGUCCGGUAGGGGAGCAUGGAAUUCCUGGUGUAGCGGUGAAAUGCGCAGAUAUCAGGAGGAACACCAGUGGCGAAGGCGGUGCUCUGGGCCGGAACUGACGCUGAGACACGAAAGCGUGGGUAGCAAACAGG